GAUGAACGCUAGCGGCAGGCCUAACACAUGCAAGUCGAGGGGUAACAGAGAGUGCUUGCACUUUGCUGACGACCGGCGCACGGGUGCGUAACGCGUAUACAAUCUACCUUGUACUGGGGGAUAGCCUUUAGAAAUGAAGAUUAACACCCCAUAGUAUGUCGACCUCGCAUGGGGAUGACAUUAAAGGUUACGGUACAAGAUGAGUAUGCGUCCUAUUAGCUAGAUGGUGUGGUAACGGCACACCAUGGCAACGAUAGGUAGGGGCCCUGAGAGGGGGAUCCCCCACACUGGUACUGAGACACGGACCAGACUCCUACGGGAGGCAGCAGUGAGGAAUAUUGGACAAUGGAGGCAACUCUGAUCCAGCCAUGCCGCGUGCAGGAAGACUGCCCUAUGGGUUGUAAACUGCUUUUAUACAGGAAGAAACCGCUCUACGUGUAGAGCUCUGACGGUACUGUAAGAAUAAGGAUCGGCUAACUCCGUG
rnacentral:rRNA from 1 species